rnacentral:lncRNA from 1 species
AAGACCACACAGGGUGCCUGUCCAGCCCAGAGCGUCACAACGACGCCCAGCCACACUCCAGCUGAACACCGGCCACGUAGCUGCCGCACCGAGAGAGGCACGCAGGAACCUCCACGGGGAGAAGUCCCCCUGGGGCCACCGUCGGAGAAACGUGAAGGGUGUUGGAACAAGCAGAGUCGGAGCGAGGAAAAUUAAACAACAACAUCUGACAAGUGGCCCAUCCCCUGUGGCUCCAGGCUGAGCCAGGCCAAAGGGACGGAGAAGAGGCCUCCCUGGCCCACCCAGGAGAGCCCCCACCUCAGGGCAGAAGGCAGGCAGCUCAGGGUAAGUAGGACAGUGGCCUACCUGGGAGAAAAGUGGGAGAAGGGGAGC